GGCACAUUUGAGUGACCAAGCCACGUGAAUCUGUGGCCAGUCUGGGAAUGAAUACAGUGGCAACCAAUGAUCCCAUGGGAGGAGAAAGGGGAAGAAAGGAAGAAAGGCAACAGAACAGGAUGUUCCUUCUGGCCCAGAGGCUGAGGCCACGACUGAUAAGACCAGAAAAAGGAGCCAAUACUGAGAACAUCUAGCAUGUAGGUUUAAAUAAACUGUCUCAUAUUAUCACUGGAUUUUUCAGCACUCUGAAUGCUCUAAUUCUCUAAGCUGUGGCUGCUUAACACCUCUUAACACAAGGUAGAGCUUGCAAGAAGAAACCACUUGCACAUAUUUUCGACAGAACAUUGUGAUUUUUGGGCGAGGAAGUGGACUACCACAGCGACUGAUGGUACCUGUCAAAGAAACCACAGUAAAAGAGCGAGCAGCCAUGAUUCCCUCCCAUCACAGCAGUGACAGUGACUGUGGACUCUGCACAGUGCUGUCCCUCCAGCAAGGCCAGAAGAAGACACUUCCUUCUGUGUUGCUCCCCAUUCUGCUCACAAACAUCCUGGCUGGGCAACUUGAACAGAGAAACUUUUGUAUAAAAUAUUUGCUGUAGAACCAAUACCAAUCUGGAAGGAAAUACCACUUCUUUAUUUUAUCACAGGCUUCUCAUCAACACUUAAAUAAAAUAGUUUGCAUUGUGACUGUGCUAAGGUUGGGAUAUAUAAAAUUAUAUAUUGCUGAAUAUGUUCAACUCACAGCUUCAAGGAGAUUUGGAGACACUCAACACCUCAAGCAGAAUUUAUCAGAAGUUGGCACAUCAGGUCCAGAAUGCCAUUAAAAUAUGCUUUAGCUUUUGAUCCACACUUAAGUGGUCAGAUAGGUGAUCACUGAGCCCUUUUGGCCGAACUAUUUUUUUUUAUUCUAAAUUUUGGUUACUCUAUCCAUGUACUCCUAAAGAUGCAUACAAAGGAGGCACAUCAGUCUGUCUGGCUGUUCUAUUUUCUGGAGCAUUUACUUUUUAUAAAACCAGAAGAACAGAAAGAAAAUUAUAAUUUACACAGUUAAAAUACAUUGUUUGAUCCGCUCCACCUGACAAUUUUCUUCCUGUUGUACUCUUUGCAAAAUUGUAAUGUUGCCCUUUGCUGAUCAGUUCCAGAAAAAGGCAUAUAAAGUCAUUUAGAAGUGGUCUGUGCACCUGUGCCCAAAAGGACAACUCAGGUUGUCAAGUAGAUAGUAACAAGUACAACCAUCACAGUCAAGUCCUGGCUUAUCAGCAAAACACAGUGAUUUUGUUGCACAAUGAUCUUUGCUUGAAUAAUACCUAUUUGCCCAAAAACAAAAGCAGAAAAAUAUUUCUUACUUGCUGAAAAAUCACAGAUUUAAGGAAUUGAAACCUCCUCUUUUUAAAGUCAUUUGGUCAAAAUAAACAUUCUGCAAAAACA